rnacentral:rRNA from 1 species
GUCCACGCCCUAAACGAUGUCAACUAGUUGUUGGGUGACUUGUUCACUUAGUAACGUAGCUAACGCGAGAAGUUGACCGCCUGGGGAGUACGGUCGCAAGAUUAAAAACUCAAAGGAAUUGACGGGGGCCCGCACAAGCGGUGGAUUAUGUGGAUUAAUUCGAUGCAACGCGAAAAACCUUACCUACCCUUGACAUGCCAGGAAGUUGACAGAGAUGUUGACGUGCCCGAAAGGGAAUCUGGACACAGGUGCUGCAUGGCUGUCGU